UUCAUUAGUCAAUGCUUGAAAGAACAUUUCCAUUUCCUUUUGAGUACGUACCCUUUUAUACAUUUCUUAUGAAACCACCUUGGACAGAAGUCACACCCCACCCACUUGGCUUCUUGACCAUCUAUAAAAUAAUGGUUCUUUACAUACAUGGCACCUUGACUCGUCAAUCUUAGUGCGUUUUCUUUUUGACUUUGGCUGGUGAUCAUCCUCCAAGGCUGUAAUUGUUAAACACCCUUGAAGUUUGUUUGCAGCUUGUACCAAGGGAUCUGUAGGUGGUCGUACACGCUUCCUUCUUGCUGACCGUUUUGCUCUGGUUUGCUUCACAAUGAGUUUGGACUGGGUGUCAGAAUCUAGAGUAUCCUCUACCCGGAGAGAAUUCGUUUGAAUUCUAUCAGAGCCAGCAAAAUUUAAUUGAAGUUUAUGACACCGUUUUCUUCACUCGGCCUCUCCUAGAAUUUCAGUGCUCCCUUGCGAACCACUCAUGGGUUUCCUUCCAGGGUUUUAGUGAAACAUACAAUGACACUCAUUCUCUCAACAAGGACCAAGCCAUGACAGAAAAGAUUGCAGCAGAUGCAUUCUACAAUGGAGAGAUUGAGAAUGAAAUUAGGUUUCUUGUACUAGCAACCAAUCCUACUUUUUCCCUAACCUUCAAACGAGACAGUGACAGAGAGGAAACAAUGGAAAUGAUUGAAACAAUUCGCUCAUGCAGUAUAU